rnacentral:rRNA from 1 species
AACGAACGCUGGCGGCGUGCCUAACACAUGCAAGUCGUGCGAGAAAGUUCCUUCGGGAGCGAGUAAAGCGGCGCACGGGUGAGUAACACGUAGGUAACCUGCCCCCCAGUCUGGAACAACUAGAGGAAACUCUAGCUAAUGCCGGAUGAGACCACGAUCCCUUCGGGGGUUGCGGCCAAAGAUGGCCUCUACUUGUAAGCUAUCGCUGAGGGAUGGGCCUGCGGGCCAUUAGCUUGUUGGUGAGGUAACGGCUCACCAAGGCUGUGAUGGCUAGCUGGUCUGAGAGGAUGACCACGCCACACGUGGGACUGAGACA